CAUGCAUGCCAUAUCAUGUUCUAAAUGUUUGUCGUGUUGGGUAAAUCAGUUUUUUUAAGAUAUUCUGUCGGAAAAAUUAUAUAAAACUCUUCACAAGUAAAUUAUGCAUCUCCUGUUUCUGCAUUCUACUUUUUUGUUGUUGUUGGCAAUUGUACUCCUUUUUAUAAUAAAUCGUAUGUUCUAUAUAAGGUUUCGGGUUAAUAAUACACUACACCAGCAAAACUUCAUAGUUUUUCUUUUAUGCAGCCUCAGGUCCCACUACUACCGUUAAUUUUCUCAUGAUUCAUUUUGCCCGUUGCCCCUUACCCCACUUUUAUGACCAAGACAUUAUAUCAUUCUCGGUAAUCAUUUAUAUUCAAAUAUUAUUAUCAUUCUCAAUCAACAUCACCCAUUUCUCAUUUCCAUCGAUUCAGCUGUUUCUGAACCGAAAGGAAAUUGAAAAGAGGGACAAAAUUCACGAUAUGGUGAUGAUGAGCCAACGUGGCCUAACAAGAUAAAUAUCCAUGAAAUCAGCAGGUAAAAGGUUCAUCAAGCCAAAAGUAGAGACAUUCUAACGGAAACAUCUGCAUAACUAAUUCACUAACCUCAACAAAAUAAAAUCUGGUUUUUCUUCAUUAUAAUUUGUCUCAUCAAAUUGGUUUUCUCCAGAAAGAAGUUGGCUGACAAUAAGCAAUUAUGAUCUUUGUUUUAAAGCUGAUAUACUAAAGAAGAUAACAUAUAAAUACUUUCUCGUGUCAGGUACCAAGUAAAACAACAAAAUAGCCCACUAAAGAAUAAAGAAUUUGCAUAAGACACUUACAUAAAAAAUAAUUGAGAAAAACUACAGAUUUUAGC
rnacentral:lncRNA from 1 species